rnacentral:lncRNA from 1 species
UGCACCGCGCCGCCGCGGAACUCUUGCGAUGCUCCACCUCCACGGCAGGACGGCUUCUCCGACUCGGCUCCUCCUCUUGCCCCUUCUCUCGCCGCUUCCCUCACACCCAACCCUAACCCGGCCCUGGCACCCUUGCCGCCAGCACCUCUCUUGCUGCCACUGGUGCCGCAUCCGGGGAAGCAAGUGCAGCAGGAGAAUGCUGAGGAAGGAGAAGAACCGAGGCCAACGCCGACAGCCAUGGAAAAGAAGGUGGUAGAGCCUUCAGAGAAGAAGACAUUUGUGGAUUUGAAAUCAAUGUGGGGUAGAGCUGAAAAGAAACUAAAGCCUAUAGUUGACAGCAAUAAUAUUUCUGAGCAUUCAGUUGUGAGGAAAGACACUGAACCUACUACACAUGCACCUGCAACUGAGAAGAUUGGGUGUAGUAGAGCAUGUGAAGUUGGAUUUGCAGAAACAGAAACUCAUGUGCCCUAUGAAAGUAUAGAA